rnacentral:lncRNA from 10 species
CAAAAUAUAUGCAAAAAUGUCUUUUGAGACAUGGGACAGCGGUCAGAAUUGGGCAGCAGUUACUGAGAGAGGAGAAACUAAUGAGGAGAGACCUUCCAGCCCCUGGCUACUGUCUGGAGAGGAGCUCCAGGCCAGAGCCUGAGAGGGGGUACCCAGAUAAGGCGGGGUCUUGCUGCGGCAGAGACUGAGUUAUAAGUUGGGGGAAGCCA